UGUGGAGCAGACUGGUGGGUUCAUAACACAUGAAACAGAGAGGCUGAGGAGAAUCCAAGUUUCGUUUAAUAUUGUAUGUAAUUAGGGAUGAUGUAAUGUUAGCAUCAUGUUGUUUUUUUUUUUUUUUUUGUGUUGUAACUUGUAACCUAAACAUAUACUAUGUAUGUAGGAAAAUGUGUGUACUUAUACAUAAGCGAUUAUAGUUAAAGAGUGUCAAGUGCAAAAAAAUGUUCUGCUUGGUAACACACAAAUGAUAGAUCUGAACUUGUUUAGUUAUUUUGGAAAAAACUGUCUCAUUUAAAAAGAACUUUUUUUUUUGGAAUUUAAGUCUUUUUCAAUCUAACAUUGUUAUAUAAAAUAUAUUUAAUACUUGUAAGCUAAUAAUAUUUUUUUGUAGAUUUUUUUUAUCUAAGAUAAUAUAGAUUUUGGACGUUGUGUAUCCCAUUUAUACAUAAACUUAAAGGUUCCGGCUGCAUUAUUUCGUACAUAUAUUCCAUCUUCUUGCGCUUGCCAGAAACAUACGUUAGGUUUCCUACCCCCACAUAUAUCAUGUAUAAAACUUUCUUUCGCGAUAAAUGCGUUAAGUUUUACAUGUUGCUCGUAAUUAGGUCCCUGAAAAAUAUGAUUACAAAAGGAUAUGUAUACAAAACAUCAAAAGAAUAAUAUAGACUUGUUAGACACCAAAUGAGCAAGAGAUAAAAGUACCUUCCAUAAGUUGCACCAUAUCAAAGUUUUUAGGUAAACUCUGAAUUUAAAUGUGAAUGUAGUAUCAGAGGAAAUAAAUACAACUUUGGACGCUGCAUCGUUGCCAGAUCUACAUUCGAACAUAAGUUUUUUGUUAUCUGGAAGGUGAUUUGAAAAUUGGAUGUUAAAAUGUCUAAAUAAAAGAACAGAAUCAAUUUUUUGGAUGGAUAAGAAAAACAAGAAAAGGAAACAUAUUAGAAUUUUCCCCAUCUUUGUUGUUUUAUUUUACUCUGGUUAACAUGAAUAUGUAUAUAUAUACACCUUUCACAUAGAGUAUCUAUGUACAUUAUAUGCAAAGAUAACCCCAUACUUUUUAAUGCUAGUAACUUCAUUCAUUUAUUGGUUUCUUUCAUACUCUUUCCGUUUCAUAUUAAAGUUUGUAACUUAAAUUUUGUCUUUAUGUAAUACAUAUUUUCAAUCACUACCUUCACCUCAAGAUCAACGGACGUCACUCCGAUGCCCGAGUCAUCCCUGACAUCGAUGUCUGUAAAUGGGAACCUUGGGAUCUUCCUGGUUCGUCUCUUUUUUAACUCACUCAAAUUUUUGAUUCCUUUGUUCUCUGAUUCUGUUUUUUCAUUCAAAGAUUCUACCUUUUCUAACUCUUAAAAAUAUUUUGUCUAAAGAGAAACUUGUGGCACAGGUACAAAUGCAGAGUAGAAAGUAAAACAGAGAAAGGGAAGAGAUGAAAGGUGGUUGCAGCGGUGAUAGUGGCAGUGAUGGUGGGAAUGUGGAGCAGACUGGUGGGUUCAUAACACAUGAGACAUAGAGGCUGACGAGAGUUCAAGUUUCGUUUAAUAUUGUAUGUGAUUACUAAUUAGGGAUGAUGUAAUGUAAUGUUUGUUUUUUUGUUUUUUGUAACUUGUAACCUAAACAUAUACUAUGUAUGUAGGAAAAUAUGUGUUAUACAUAAAGCGAUUAUAGUUAAAGAGUGUAAAAUACAAAAUUGUGCUGCUUGGGAACACACAAAUGAUAGAUCUGAACUUGGUUAGUUAUUUUGUCA
rnacentral:lncRNA from 1 species